rnacentral:lncRNA from 1 species
UUCUUUUCCUGCUCCAAGAAAAGGCAAAGUGACUGGGUUGAUGGGACUCCACGGGACUAACAAUGGUUGGCCCCUGAACUGUUUUCUAAGGAUGGAAUCAGCGAAAACUGCCUGGCUUUUGUUUUGCUGGCCAGAUCAUGCAAGCUGUGAAUUGAAUUACUAGGGAAAGGAGAAAAAUAGUUGAGAGGCAGUGUUGGGAAUGUUAGGCUGAAGGAAAAACAAAGAGAACUAGAAGACGUCGGGGCCCAUAGUGGAACUUUGAGAAAUGAACAGAUGCGUUUAAAAGGUAGGUACUGAGAAAUUGAGCAAUUCACAAUAGAAUGGAUAUGGCAGCAGCUUCAAAAUUUACAAAAUAGUUGAUUAUGAUCACAUGCUACACCCUCGACUUGCUGAUGGGGCAGCGUGGAUUCAACCAGGAAUGUCCUCCUUCCUGAAUGGAUGAUGAUGGGGCAAACACAGCGUUCCAGUCACUAGACAUGUACCUCCUAUGCAGGUGGGCACACAAGACAGCUGACUAAGGGAAGAAAUGCAUGAGAAAUUUGCAAAGAGGGAAAGCCAAGAGCACCUGUAGUGUUCUGGAGGUAGCUGCACACUGACAUCCCUUCACACCCAGUGGCCUCUUGUGAAAGAGAAGGCAAUGCAAUGCCGUCGGAGACAAAGCCCAGCUGAAGAGAGGCAGUGCACUUGCUGAUGGAUACUAAAUGAAAAGCAGGCAGAAAUCAGCAAUGCAUCCAGCUUCUGUUGAGGGAGAUUCAGUGGAAUGAUUUUUAUAUUUUCAUGAAGAAAUUACAGUUGAAUAUUAAAACCUGGUAUUUCAGUUUAUCUGGUCUGACUCCCAUCUAACUAACCAACAUAGCCAUGGAUUUUGUAAAACUCACUUAGCAAAUCAUCUUAAUUGGUACCAAAAAAGUGAUGGCUAUGGAAAUAUUGGCAUUUCUAUGUGCAUAACUGAUGUUUUUAUGAGGAUAAGAGGGAGAGAAGAAUCACAUUUCAAAGAAGCUUCUACUGAAAUAAACUAACCAGAAGAACUAAUUGUGGCAUACUUAACAGCUUUGAGCUUUAUGUGUACACUACCUAUGUUUCCUGUUCAGCAAGUGAAUGUCCCCAGGCCGGUAGGGGCAAUGUGAAGAUGAAUCUUAUAUCUCCAAUUUCUCGAAGAACAUUUAUUCAUCUUCCUGGAAUUCACUCAUUGCCAGUUCUUUUAGAAAUACUGACACAGUUAAUAGUGUCUAAUGUCGUGGAUGACUGCCUUCCACCGAUGUCGUGACUUCCCACCCAAGAACCAAUGACUUCUUUCUCUGUGAUUCAGCUCUCCACUGACCCUCAUGGGCAAGAGUGGGGUUUCAGCAAUUAUUCUUUCAACCUCUAUUGAUUAAUCACACGAUAUAAGCCAGACACAGUUCUGGGCAGCAGGAUACAAUAGUGAACAAGACAACCCCAAAUCCCUGCUCUUGUGGAACUGACAUUUUCUCAUGGGGUGUGGGGGUUGGGGAAGAAUGAGAGAUGUUAAAUGCAAAACCAAAAUAAAAGAAAUUUUAAGAUCAUGUGAUAGGGAGUGGCUGGCUGGUCAGGGAUAGCCUCUCCAGGACUGGGACAUUCAUGGGAGUUGACAUGUGAAUUAUGAGAAGAAGCCGACAAUGCCAAGAUCACAUGGCAACACGUUUCAUGCAAAAGAAACAGCCAGCAUGAAGCCUGUGAGCUGGGAACAAGACCGGCUCAGGUCAAGGGACAGACAAAAAGGCCAACAAGGCUGAAAAAGAAUAAGGAAGAGGAGAGGGGUGUGAGGUUCAGCAGGAAAGAUCUGAAGGACUGGGUCAGACAGGGUUCUUCAGGACAUGGAAAAGAAUUUGAAUUUUUUAAAUAAAUGCAAUGAGAAGACACUGGAGAAUUUUAAUCAUGAGGGUAACAUAGUCUGUUUUGCAUUUGAAAACUAACAUUGUGACUGUUAGGCAGCAAAUGAAGUUGCCCUCCCCCAGUCCAUCCCUGGCCGUGGUUGAUCGAAACAUAAGUGACCAUCUUACCCGGUGUGUUUUUUGUCACUAUGGAAUUUGCAUUUAGGAACAAAGGGUCUGUGUUUAUUCAAGUGGUCUCUUCAUGGGGCCGAUACUGUAACAUACAUAGCUGGGGGUCUGAGGCAGCCACGUUGUGCCAAGGGCACUGAGGAGAAAAUGGCGGCCUGCUGGAUUCUUCUUUCUUCUGAGGCUCAGGUGACUGCUUGUCCUCAUAUCACUCCACCAGACUGUCAGGAGCUAAGCGGAGCUCGAGAGAGCUGAGCUGCCAGGUGUCAGGGUAGCUGAUUAAGACAACAAGCCAAGAUGAACAGUGAAGGCUUUAAUCAUUUACUGCAAUAGUAUGCACAAGAGACUAAACCAGAGAAAGUGCCGACUCCCCAUCAUUCCAUUUUCCCCAGCGCACCAGCCCUCAUUGAGGGUCUGGAUCAGCACUGAAGCCAAGGGAUUGUCUCACAGCUGAGGGACCCCUGAACAAGAGACUCCCGCCAUCAAAUGGAUCUGGAGCUGGCGGGGGGUGGGGAGAAGGAAGGGCUAUGAGUGUGAAAGUACUGAGCACUGAGUCAGAGUGGAGAAAAACAUCUCCAAGCCUCCCCGCUUCUUCUCCUUGAUAAGGUGACCCCUGCAGAGGUGUCUAAGAUAAGCCUCUGCAGAAAGCCUGUGAUAAAGAGGCCUCCAAAGAGAGGCACCUGGGCCAGGAAUGUGGAUGUGCAUAAGAGCAAGGCUGGCUGGGGGGACUCAGUGCUUGACUGCAACUCCCCUCAGAGACUCAAUGUGUCGGCUGUGCCCCAAGUCUGCAGUGGGGAGGGCAGUUUCUCCCCACGAGGUCUGACAGGUAAAGCCUGGUAUUAAUAAUUGCUUAUGGCCAGAUGUGAAAGUUCACACAUAGGUUUAGGGCUACGAACUGGUACUCCAAACAGACUAUGCUAGGUGCUUACUAUAAACCCAUCUACAGUAGAGCUUGAGUAACUUCUGCUGCUUGAAACUGGCACUCUAACUAAUGAAAUUUAAAAUGAACCCCAAAAUGAGUUAGAGUCAAAUAAUGACAGGAUGUGGGAAAUGAUCACAACAUAGGUAUAGACUCCAGAAAAAUGGGCACCACUACCCAUAAGAAGACGCCCAGAGAUAUCUUGCAGACUAUUUAAAUUGAGAGCAAGAGUUUGAGCCUGUACAGUAUUUCUGGCAAUCCAAAGAGGCAAACCCAGGGGCAGGAGCUAGAGAACUUGAAAUAUAACCAGAGUGGCCUAUCUCUGAGCUUACCUGUUGGCUUACUCUUUGCCAGAAAUUUCUGUUGUGCAACAAGAAUGAUAACAGUUGGGAAGAGAAGAAAGGUGCAAGAGAAGCCCUUGACUAUCUCACCAAACCCAUCCCCUCCCUCUGCUUCCUCCUUCACUCUGCUUUGGCCCCACUGGUCUGCUCCCUGUUGCCCGACAAGUUCACACCCCAGGUCCCUUGUAUAUGCUGUUCCCUUUGCCUGAAUUGCUCUUCCCUUCAGCCCUUGCUAGACUCCUUCAUUCAAGCCUCGGCUGAAACGUCACCAUUUUCAAGAGUGACCUGGCCAUUCCAUCCCAAAUGGCAGUUCUAUCACUUUUUAUCCCCUAACAGUGGUUUCUAUUUUUCUUUAUAAUACUUAUCACAACCUGAUAUUAUGAUUGAUUGCUUUGUUAGUUCUUGUGUCUUCCUGUGCCCACACUAGAAUGUAAGCUCCACGAAGUUGAGAGCUGUUUAGUUCAUAAAUCACUGCAUCCUCAGAGCCUAGAAUAGCACCCAGGA